CAGCCGCCACGGUAAUACGUAGGUGGCGAGCGUUGUCCGGAAUUAUUGGGCGUAAAGGGAGCGCAGGCGGACAUAUAAGUCCAUCUUAAAAGUGCGGGGCUCAACCCAGUGAGGGGAUGGAAACUGUAUGCCUUGAGUGCAGGAGAGGAAAGCGGAACUCCCAGUGUAGCGGUGAAAUGCGUAGAUAUUGGGAGGAACACCAGUGGCGAAGGCGGCUUUCUGGACUGCAACUGACGCUGAGGCUCGAAAGCCAGGGGAGCGAACGGGAUUAGAGACCCCAGUAGUCCCUGUCUCUUAUACC
rnacentral:rRNA from 1 species